rnacentral:sRNA from 1 species
AAUUUGUCAUCCAACACUUUCACGUAAUGUUCAUGUACCGAGGUAUCUUGGAUUUGGUCCCUUUCAAACUUCGAUUGUCUCAUGACUGCUAUACUAGCAGACUUCUGUGUCAAACCGGAAGUCAAUGGAAUGUUAUCGUCAGGAAGUUGGCCCACACUGGCACUGAAAAUGGGAUUUCCACCCGACAUUCGAAAGUUUGUUCUCCGUCUUUUCAAUGCAUCUCUUGGAUCUAGGAAUUUUGAACUUUGUUUCGAUGGAACUAAAAAUGUGUGUUCCGAUGCAUCUUCUACGUCACAAUCUCGAUCAAUUAACUCAACAUCGUCUGUACAAGUUGUCUGUGAGUGUCGGUUUGACAGCGCCGCUAAGAGAGGUCGGGGAUGUUUUCUUUCGUAGAUUAAAGCACCAUGCUCCUCUUCAUCACUAAACGUUGUUUGUCUACUGGCCGAUGGGACAGUCAGACGAUUUUUUCCAUCGCUUGAUGACGUGUCAUCUUCAUCACUAAACGUCGUCUCUCGACUGCUAAGAGGGACGUGCAGACGUGAUUUAAUAUCCAGGAAGUCCUCUGACUUCCCUGAGCGACUCAGCUGAGAGGUUUCAACACUUGUGUAGGAAUCACAGGACGCUGAAUGCUGUCUCCACGCAUCCCUCUUUUCUUUUGCUUGUGCACAGCAUUUUUUAAUUUCAUCUAUGUGAGUUGACCUUGCAGCGUCACUUGUUUCGUCAUUUGAAGCCAUUUGCAAUAGCCAUGCCAUCAACUUGUCGUAUGAGUCGAUCCCUUUUUCUUCAGCAUCUUGAAGCCUCUCAAGUAUAUUGACUGUAAAACAACAAAUUCAAUAAUUAUUGUGUUAUCAUUUACGUAUUUUGAAUGCUGAUAAGGUGGUUUUUUGUGACCUUAUAAUUAUUUUCUCACUAUAGAAAUCGAUAUCAGAUGUCUAUGUUGAAACAUACAUGUAUUAAUGCAUAGAAAUAUACGUAUACAUGCAUAUUUAUAUUCGAUUUAGAAUAACUCUGAAAUUGAAAAACAAAUGUAGUCCAUUUUGCUUUUAAUUAAUAUUAAAUGAUAGAUUCGAAACCAGUG